rnacentral:rRNA from 1 species
GACGAACGCUGGCGGCGUGCUUAACACAUGCAAGUCGAACGAUGAACCCGGAGCUUGCUCCGGUGGAUUAGUGGCGAACGGGUGAGUAACACGUGAGUAACCCGCCCUUGACUCUGGGAUAACUGCGGGAAACUGUAGCUAAUACCAGAUACGACCCUCGGCGGCAUCGCCAGGGGGUGGAAAGAAUUUCGGUCAAGGAUGGACUCGCGGCCUAUCAGCUAGUUGGUGAGGUAACGGCUCACCAAGGCGACGACGGGUAGCCGGCCUGAGAGGGUGACCGGCCACACUGGGACUGAGACACGGCCCAGACUCCUACGGGAGGCAGCAGUGGGGAAUAUUGCACAAUGGGCGCAAGCCUGAUGCAACAACGCCGCGUGAGGGAUGACGGCCUUCGGGUUGUAAACCUCUUUUAGUAGGGAAGAAGCGAGAGUGACGGUACCUGCAGAAAAAGCACCGGCUAACUACGUGCCAGCCGCCGCCGUAA